CCUCCUUUCUAAGGAUGCUAGAAGUCAUUGAAUUCGUUCAAUAUUUCCGGCUCACCUUACAAAACUACCCGGCGUUAAGUUGGCGCCGCCUUCGCAUCUCUUUCCAUGGCCACCUGGAUCGGCCGACAGCAUCUGCUUUGCUAUUAAUUAGCUACAAUAGCAUUCGGGCCUGUAGCUCAGUCGGUUAGAGCGCACGCCUGAUAAGCGUGAGGUCGGUAGUUCGAAUCUACCCAGGCCCACCAGAUGAGGCACUUCUUUCGCCGAGUAUCCGGUGCCGGGGGUGUAGCUCAGCUGGGAGAGCACCUGCUUUGCAAGCAGGGGGUCGUCGGUUCGAGUCCGAUCACCUCCACCAGAUGGAGCUGACAUGUUCCAAGUGGCCAUCAUGAGUUUUACCGCCCGCCCGGUUAUGGCGCGGGCAAGGCUCUAUACAUCGUGAAGAGAAAUGCGAAUCGAACGCUUUCGAGCGGUGCGGAAUUCCCGAUCAGGAGGAACGUAUCAGGAGUGUUCGACGAUCUGACUGU
rnacentral:tRNA from 1 species